rnacentral:rRNA from 1 species
UACGUAGGGGGCAAGCGUUGUCCGGCUUUAUUGGGCGUAAAGGGCGCGUAGGCGGUUCGGCAAGUCUCUCGUGAAAUCUCUGGGCUCAACUCAGAGUCUGCUGGGGAAACUGCCGGGCUUGAGUGUGGGAGAGGUGAGUGGAAUUCCCGGUGUAGCGGUGAAAUGCGUAGAUAUCAGGAAGAACACCCGUGGCGAAGGCGGCUCUCUGGAACGCAACUGACGCUGAGACGCGAAAGCGUGGGGAGCAAACAGG